CUCGUUGCUGGAACCAAGUACCGAGGAGAGUUUGAGGAAAGAUUGAAGAAGCUAAUGGAAGAAAUCAAACAAAGUGACGAAAUAAUUCUUUUUAUUGAUGAGGUGCAUACAUUAAUUGGAGCUGGAGCAGCAGAAGGUGCAAUUGAUGCUGCCAAUAUCCUGAAACCAGCUCUUGCGAGAGGUGAAUUGCAGUGUAUUGGAGCUACAACAUUGGAUGAAUACAGAAAGCACAUUGAAAAGGACCCUGCUUUAGAAAGACGAUUCCAGCCAGUCA
rnacentral:misc_RNA from 1 species